rnacentral:lncRNA from 1 species
UUGGGGGAAAUUUGAGGGAAAAAGAGGGGGAAAUUUGGGAAAAUUUGGGGGAAAUUUGGGGAAUUUUUGGGGGAAAUUUGGGGAAUUUUGGGGGAAUUUUGGGGGAAUUUUUUGGGAACUUUUGGGGGAAAUUUGGGAGAAAUUUGGGGAAAAUUUGAGGGAAAUUUGGGGAAAAGAGUGGGGGAAAAAUUGGGAUUUUGGGAAUUUCGGGGAUUCGGGGGUUUGGGAUUUUAGGGAUUUGGGAAUUUGGGGAUUUCAUGGAAUUUGGGAUUUCAGGGAUUCAAGAUUUUGGGAAUUUGGGAUUCAGGGAUUUGGGAAUUUUGGGAUUUCAGGAAUUUGGGAUUUCAGGGAUUCAGGAAUUUGGGAACUCAGGAUUUUGGGAAUUUCGGGAUUUUGGGAUUCAGGGAAUUUGGGAUUCAGGGAAUUUGGGAUUUCAAGGAUUCAGGAUUUUGGGAAUUUUGGGAAUUCCAGGAUUCUCACUGUGCACGGCGAUGAGGUCGGGCAGGUUGGGGAUCCCAGAGGGAUUUCGGGAACCGGCGGGGUCGGGAACUCGGGGAUUUCGGGGAAUUUGGGGAAUUUCAGGAUUCAGGAAUUUGGGAAUUUUGGGAAUUCAGGAAUUCAGGAUUUUGGGAAUUCAGGAAUUUGGGAAUUCAGGGAUCCCGGGAUUCUCACUGUACACAGCGAUGAGGUCGGGCAGGUUGGGGAUCCCAGAGGGAUUUUGGGAACCGGCGGGGUCGGGAACUCGGGGAUUUUGGGAAUUGGGGAAUUUCAGGAUUCAGGAAUUUGGGAAUUUGGGAUUUCAGGGAUUUGGGAUUUUGGGAAUUUUGGGAUUUGGGAUUCUCACUGUGCACAGCGAUGAGGUCGGGCAGGUUGGGGAUCCCAGAGGGAUUUUGGGAACCGGCGGGGUCGGGAACUCGGGGAUUUGGGGAAUUUGGGAUUCAGGGAUUCGGGAUUUUGGGAUUUCAGGGAUUUGGGAUUUUGGGAAUUUUGGGAAUUCCAGGAUUCUCACUGUGCACGGCGAUGAGGUC